UAUAUGAUUAGCUGUUUAUCACUAGAAUACCUUAUCAAGCAAAUAGAAACUACAAGUGGUCUAGCCAUCUUUGACAGAUUGAGAAUUGAAAACCUUUUACUUCAUAGUUUUGAUAUUGGUGUGGUGUGAACAAAAAAUACAGGUCAACUAAACAAGUUUUUAACAAAGACAGGUGAAAUAAUUGGCAAAAAAGGCCAUGGCCCAGGGUGGCAGUUUUGGAUAGCUAUAGAGUGAGCAGCAAACCUUUCUAGACAAUGUGCAUUAGCAAUAAAGACAUCAUUCUAAUGAUAAAUAACGAAAUACGGAAGGUAGAGGCAAGGAACAAAAUCUCCAUAUCGUCGGGGAUAGUGCAAUACCGCGUAACUAACAAAUGCAGUAAGGUCCAAUUACCUUGUACAUUGUUUGAAUUUCGAACUCUUACGACUUUGUUAGUUGCGCGGUAUUGCACUAUCCCCGACGAUAUACUAAAAAGUGUCCAACAAAAAACCAUAAAUAGGUGGCGCUACAAUACCUAGAAUACUUGAGAAAAAAAUCUAAUUAUAGACAGCACACUACACUCCAUCAAUAACGCCUAGGUUCUUAAAUACUCUAGCACUACUCUAAGGAGAUUUGGAACUAUUAUUUAUUCUUUCUGCCUAAGGAGUUUCUGUUCCUUGCCUCUACCUUCCGUAUAACGAAACACCAGUCAUCUGUCAAUUUGACAUUUUAAGGUUCCAUAGCCAACUAGGAACCCUUAUAGGUUCGCCGCUCGUGUUUAGUUUCAAGUCAAGUUUGCAAGUUAGGUUAUUUUAUUAUGGUGCCAUGUUAGGUACCAUAAUAAAAUAUAUUUUUUUCUCUUUAACCUAAUGGUGUGGGGUAUUGUUGGAUAGGUGUUUCAAAAUGAAAACUAUUGCGAAAAUGAUUGGUCCAGCUGUUUUUGAGUUAUCACAGAAAACCUUCUCUCUUAGUAAAAAGACUGCAAAGGCAUGGUAAAACAUUAACUACGUUCAAUUUUAAAUUUUAUCUGAAAUUGUUUAGUAGGUAGCCAGUAAAAGUACUUUUGGUAAAGCAAAUGCUUUCAGGCAAAAGUUAAGGAAAGGAUUUCAUAGUCUAAAGAAGAACACGACUAAAUCCGCCAAGUCAGCAAAAAAUAAUAAGUAAUGACACUGGGAACGAGAAAGUACAGACAUCGCAAAUAUCCAUUGUCCAGGGUAAAGUAGAUAAAUGAGUCUUCUAAAAAUUACACAAUAUUAAUACAUUUUAAUAACAAUCUCUUAGACAUGUUGCUGAAAUCAUAAGCGUUUAAUUUACAUUCAAAAUAAAAGAAAGUAACCUAGAUAAAUAGCCAAUGAAGGUGAUUAACCUAACAACCGUCCUAGAGUUAAAGAAUGAAUUCGCACUGGCCGAGUACGUGGACAAUAAGCCUUAUUUUUGAAAAACAAGAAGUAAAUAAAUGACACAUGCAGAUUACUUAAAUGUCGACUUAAUUAAAUAUUGUACGAACCUGUCUGUGUAUCCUGCAUUUAAUUUCACUUCACUUGUUUCCUCUAUAAAGAGCAUAAACUCAUCCGCUACUUAGCUCAGGGGAAUGUAGACUAGAAAUUAUUAAAUUGUUCCAAUGUUCGAUCAGAUUCAGGUUGUUAUCUCCAGUAAUAAGAACAUUAAAAAAUGCGCAUUAAGAUUAUCUUCUUCCUCUGGUCGUCACGUAAAACCAUGAAGAUGAACUACUAACCAUCGCACAACACAAUAACAAACAAAAUGGCCGCUUCACAGGAAUCGGUGAGGGCGGGAGGUUAGAAAAAGACCACUGCAGACUGCAGACAGACUAACGAAUGGCUUUGGGAUAUCUUGCUGACGCAGCUAUAAAUAGCUAAUGUGCUAGCUAUAGAUAGAUGGCAGCCGUGUCGUUUAUUUAUAAAAAAAUGAAGCUGAAAAUCGCCGUAUUAUUUGUAAUAGAUGAAUUUCUUUGUGUUAAAAUAUUUAAACUAAAAUAAACAAUAUUGUUAACAGUAAAAA